AGUCGAACGAAGCACUUAAUCGAUUUCUUUGGAUUGAAAUUUUAGUGACUGAGUGGCGGACGGGUGAGUAACGCGUGGGUAACCUGCCUCACACAGGGGGAUAACAGUUGGAAACGGCUGCUAAUACCGCAUAAGCGCACAGUACCGCAUGGUACAGUGUGAAAAACUCCGGUGGUGUGAGAUGGACCCGCGUCUGAUUAGCUAGUUGGCAGGGCAACGGCCUACCAAGGCGACGAUCAGUAGCCGACCUGAGAGGGUGACCGGCCACAUUGGGACUGAGACACGGCCCAAACUCCUACGGGAGGCAGCAGUGGGGAAUAUUGCACAAUGGGGGAAACCCUGAUGCAGCGACGCCGCGUGAGCGAAGAAGUAUUUCGGUAUGUAAAGCUCUAUCAGCAGGGAAGAAGAAAUGACGGUACCUGACUAAGAAGCACCGGCUAAAUACGUGCCAGCAGCCGCGGUAAUACGUAUUGGUGCAAGCGUUAUCCGGAUUUACUGGGUGUAAA
rnacentral:rRNA from 1 species